GAGCGAGAAAGUUCCUUUCGGGGAGCGAGUACAGCGGCGAACGGGUGAGUACAACGUAGGUAACCUACCCCCGAGACUGGGAUAACCUGUCGAAAGACGGGCUAAUACCGGAUAAGACCACGAGGGCUUCGGCCCUUGGGGUAAAAAGUGGCCUCUGCUUGCAAGCUACUACUCGAGGAUGGGCCUGCGCGCCAUUAGCUAGUUGGUGAGGUAACGGCUCACCAAGGCGAAGAUGGCUAGCUGGUCUGAGAGGAUGGCCAGCCACACUGGGACUGAGACACGGCCCAGACUCCUACGGGAGGCAGCAGUGGGGAAUCUUGCGCAAUGGGCGAAAGCCUGACGCAGCGACGCCGCGUGGGUGAUGAAGGCCUUCGGGUCGUAAAGCCCUGUCGGGAGGGAAGAAAUCUCAUCGACCUAAUAUGUCGAUGACUUGACGGUACCUCUUAAGGAAGCACCGGCUAACUCCGUGCCAGCAGCCGCGGUAAUACGGAGGGUGCAAGCGUUGUUCGGAAUCACUGGGCGUAAAGCGCGUGUAGGCGGCUAUUUAAGUUUGGUGUGAAAGCCCUGGGCUCAACCCAGGAAGUGCACUGAAUACUGGGUAGCUGGAGUACCGGAGAGGAGGGUGGAAUUCCUGGUGUAGCGGUGAAAUGCGUAGAUAUCAGGAGGAACACCGGUGGCGAAGGCGUCCCUCUGGCCU
rnacentral:rRNA from 1 species